rnacentral:lncRNA from 1 species
AUAAAUUAGAGAAGCAUGUGUGAAAACUACCCUGACCCUUCCUAUCCGGUGUUGCAGCUUACUGGACCACCACUUGACCACCUGUAUCACCUUUCCAAGUUUUGGUCUAUCUUCUCGAUAUGCUGGUGACUACUAAAACCUGGAGAAGUGGAAUAAUACUACUGAAAGUCCUAAGUAAAGAAUCUAUUGAAGGAUUUUUCCCGCAUGCUCAGUGGCAGAUGCGGGUAGCAGUAUCCCUGCAACACAAAGAAAGGGAGACAACAGGCAUAAUGAGAACAAAGAGCUGCUGGGUUCCACAUUAGCAAGAGAAAUUGGGAAUAGGCACAUGAAAGUGAAGACGGCACGGAUUCAGAGGUGGACAGACAGGAGGAGAAUCAGGGGGCAAUCAGUAGAGCGUCAUCGUCACUCAUGUCCCUGGGCUGAGGGAGGCUCCAUCUCCAUGCUUUCUGCCAACAGAAGAACAAAGGGUCCAGGCAACUGUACACUAGUUCAGGAACAUGGCAAAAAGGCCUUCUACUUAUAUUUCAUCGACCUAAGCAAAUUAUAUAGCUUCACAUAACUUCAAAGCAACACGGUUAUGCAAUCAAACCCUUUGACUAGAAGAACUGGAAAUACUUAGCUGAACUAUAAUACUUACGUAAAUGUUUCCUGCCACUAAAUAAAGUUAAGGCUAAGAUUUACCUAAAAUAUUUUGGCAGAUUUCUAUAAAUAAAUUUUGGACUCUCCUGUUCUCGUGGUUGUUUGGCUGUAAAUUUAUUGCAAUUAUGUCUUUGUAAUUUUAGAGAUGAUUUUUGUUUGUGUAUAUAUACAUAUAUACACAUUUUUUUAUCAUCUUUUACACUAUUGAUUCCUUUUUUUUUUUUUUUUAACGUUCACAUUUUUAUUUUAUUUUAUUUUAUUAUUUUUUUUUUAUUGGUGUUCAAUUUACUAACAUACAGAAUAACACCCAGUGCCCGUCACCCAUUCACUCCCACCCCCCGCCCUCCUCCCCUUCCACCACCCCCAGUUCGUUUCCCAGAGUUAGCAGUCUUUACAUUCUGUCUCCCUUUCUGAUAUUUCCCACACAUUUCUUCUCCCUUCCCUUAUUUUCCCUUUCACUAUUAUUUAUAUUCCCCAAAUGAAUGAGAACAUAUAAUGUUUGUCCUUCUCCGACUGACUUACUUCACAAUGGCAUUGUGACUAGGAAUUAUGACCUAUAUAAAUCUGAUUCAAUGAAAUUUUUUUCUUAAAGUAUAAUUGACAUACAUUAAUAUUAGUUUCAAGUGUCAAACAAUGAUUCAAUAUUUGUAUAUAUUGCAAAAUGAUAUACAUAUUGCAAAAUAAGCUGAGUUAACCUCCAUCAGCAUACCCAGC